rnacentral:lncRNA from 1 species
AGUCAACCACGCCUUCAUCUGAAUCUUUGUGCAGUGAUUAACUCUGUGACCUGGCAGCAAGUUAUUUCACCUCUCCGAAGUAUCAUUCUCUUUGUCUAUAAAACAAGAAUGGUAAUAAUAAUGAUCUCUGGGACUAAGGUUAGACUUAAAUGAGAUAAGCAAGGUACUUAAAUACAAGAACCUAGCUUAUAAGUACUCAUUAAGUAGUUGUUACUGCCCCUAGGUCUUUCACUAGUUGAAUCCCCAAAGGGAUUCAACCCAAGAAUGAGUGGAUUAUAGCUCAAAGACUUAAGAAGUUACAACUAUGGAAUUAAGAUUUGGAAAGUUUGUUUUUUGAAGGAAAAAAACGUCAAGAUCUCAAGAGGAGAUGUUGAUUCCUUUGGUUCAAGAAGUAAUAAUAAAUGUACGAGUCACUGUUCUAAGGAAUGAAGGUGCAACGGUUACCAAGAUACAAAGUCCUUGCUGUGAUGGAGCUUACAUUGUACUAGAAAAGGCAAUAAUCGUCAUCAUAAGCCAGUAAAUGCAUACUAUGUCAAAUGGUGAUUCAUACAAAAAUAAAGCAGGAUAAGGAAACGGGACAAGGAGCAUGCUGUUUGAAAUACAUUAACCUGGGAAGGCCUCUCUGACAUUUGAGCAGAGACCUGAAGGAAGUGAGAAAAUAAGCCAUAUGUCGGUCUAGGAGUAAAGCGUUCAACACAGAAGGAACAGCAAUGCAAAGACCCUGCCUGCGUGGAAGUGGGCUUGGCAUCUGUGAGGAAUAGCCAAGAGGUUUGGAUCCUUUUUACAUUAGCGGCUGAGAGAAAUACUACUAAUCACAGACUUUUCCAUAUGAUGAAGGAUAAGCCUCUUACAAGUCUAUGUGGAAUUAUUAACACCACGUGUGACUGCACAGGUAAAUAUAGUAAAACUAUAAAGUUGGGGGUUUAUUUUGAAAAUGUUGAACUUUAUUAUUUUAUGACUUUAGAGAAGACUUUAAAGCAGACAGAUGCAGGGGAAUACUAACAUGCUGAGAAAAUAAAUAGGACUCGCAAUUUACAUUGUUGAGCAGUGCUAGGCAAGGUUCUAAUCAUAACUGUGGCUAGGUUCUGUACAUGUUUUCAUUUCCACCUUAAGAAUUUCCACAGAAGUCUCCACUGCUCAGUACUCACUCAAGUCAGGAAUCAACUUUUCCAUCAGCACUGCCUUUCCUGCAGCUUUCAUUCCCCAGUUCAUCCAAAUCUUCCUGCUUCUCAUUUCCUCAGGACUCUACGUUCUGAUAAACAAAGUCAAUGUUUCAGCUUAGUGUGCAUUUGUUAGAA